CAGAGGACCAGAUUUGCCCGUCUUCUUUCAAGCAGAUGACUGAGUCAAUCCCACAUUACAUAUGAGGAAACUGAGUUAAAGAAGGCCAUGUGAGAACACAGCUAGAAGGUGACCAUCUACAAGACAGGAAGAGAUCCCUCACCAGAAACCAACUGGCCAAAACAACAUAACUUUGGACUUCCCAGCCUGCUGAACCAUGAGAAAAUAAAUUUCUGUGGUUGAGGCCACCUAGUCUAUGGUACUUUGUUAUGGCAGUUCAAGGAAACAUAUAUAAGCAGGAAAUAACUCUCUGGAAUGAGGAUGGGGUGCAGGUAAGCAAUAGCGAGUGGCUGGGUGCCUGAUAUACAAAAGGAGUAAAGGUAUACAAACCUUUCCUUUGCUAAAGGAAACCAAAAAAUUUCACCCCAAAACAUAUUUCUUUGAUGUAUCUUGAGGUGGCUAUUCAGAAG
rnacentral:lncRNA from 1 species